rnacentral:lncRNA from 1 species
AGGUAAGAGACAAAGAGAGAGAGAGCGAGAGGUAAGAGACAAAGGGAGAUAGAGCGAGAGGUAAGAGACCAAAAGAGAGAGCGAGAGGUAAGAGAGAGAGCGAGAGGUAAGAGACAAAGAGAGAGAGCAAGAGGUAAGAGACAAAGCGAGAGAUGAGAGACAAAGGUAAGAGACAGAGAGCGAGAGGUAAGAGACAAAAAGAGAGAGCGAGAGGUCAGAGACAAAGAGAGAGCGAGAGGUAAGAGAGAGAGCGAGAGGUAAGAGACAAAGAGAGAGAGCGAGAGGUGAGAGACAAAGAGAGAGAGCGAGAGGUAAGUGACAAAGAGAGAGAGCGAGAGGUAAGUGACAAAGAGAGAGAGCGAGAGGUAAGUGACAAAGAGAGAGAGCGAGAGGUAAGAGACAAAGAGAGAGCAAGAUGUAAGAGACAAAGAGAGAGCAAGAUGUAAGAGAGAGAGAGAGUGAGAGGUAAGAGACAAAGAGAGAUAAAGCGAGAGGUAAGAGACAAAGAGAGAGCAAGAUGUAAGAGAGAGAGAGCGAGACAGAGGUAAGAGACAAAGAGAGAUAGAGGGAGAGGUAAGAGACAAAGAGAGAUAGAGCGAGGGGUAAGAGACAAAGAGAGAUAGAGCGAGCAAGAGGUAAGAGACAAAGCGAGAGAUGAGAGACAAAGGUAAGAGACAAAGAGAGAGAGAGAGCUAAGAGACAAGGAGAGACAGAGCGAGAGGUAAGAGACAAAGAGAGAGAGUGAGAGAGAGGUAAGAGACAAAGAGAGAGCGAGAGGUAAGAGACAAAGCGAGAGAGCGAGAGGUCAGAGACAAAGAGAGAGAGCGAGAGGUAAGUGACAAAGAGAGAGAGCGAGAGGUAAGUGACAAAUACAGAGAGCAAGAGGUAAGAGACAAAGAGAGGGAGCAAGAUGUAAGAGAGAGAGAGAGAGAUGUAAGAGAGAGAGAGAGAGGUAAGAGACAAAGAGAGAUAGAGCAAGAGAUAAGAGAAAAAGAGAGAUAGAGCGAGAGGUAAGAGACAAAGAGAGAUAGAGCGAGAGGUAAGAGACAAAGAGAGAUAGAGCAAGAGGUAAGAGACAGAGAGAGAUAGAGCAAGAGGUAAG